CCAUCGUUGCCAUUCUCUUCUCCAUAUCUGCCAACGUUUUUGCCAUUUGUCCGCACGAGUGGCACUUCAACUUGCGAAAUUCACAUAGUUCACUUUCGUGGUUAAUAAGAUCACGCUGGUUUAAAGUUGCACCACAGCCUGGGUUUGUACAAACGGCUGGUGUAAAUCCACAUGUAGCCUCAUGGUUGUCAAGAUGUUGCAGUUGUACGAUCUCUUCACAACCCCUGUUAUUGUAAACACAAUGAAUAUUUAAUUCAUCUAAAUAAUCUUUUAUCGUUCUUUGUGGUUUGGCCAAAGUCUCUACCGUCAAUUCGUCCGCACACGUAGGGCAUUUUCGAGAAUUCUCGAGAUGUUUCGUAAUACAAGCACGGCAGAAACAAUGAUGGUUUUUCGGACACAGAACCGGGUCUUUAAGGACAUUGAAGCAAAUCAAACACAGGAAAUUUCGAUUAACUUUGACUGCGAACCUUUCCUCAUCAUAGCCUUGUAUAUAAGACGCCAUAAAUAUCACGCCAUUCUUCUCUCGUAAUAACAAAGCAAGUUCUGUGUUGAUGUUAGUCGCUCUGUAGUAUAAAUCUCGCUAUAUAGACACAAUAUAGAUACAGUGUUCGUUCUUCGAGAAAGUCUGUGUUAGGAUUGAGUCAAGUAGCAGCUCUCGCAAGGUCUUAGCUCAUUGGCUAAAAUGAAUGUUCCGGUUUCGAGGGUUU